GUUCUCAUAGUGUAGAGAGCACAUGAGAUUUUCAAUUUCAUAGGGCAUUAUCAAUAAAUUAAUGCUGAGAAUA
rnacentral:tRNA from 1 species